rnacentral:rRNA from 1 species
AAAAUUUUUGGCUUGGUCCAUCAUUAUCUAUUUACUGUGAACUGUAUUAUUACUUGACGCUUGAGGGAUGUUCCAAUGCUAUAAGGAUAGGCACUGGAAAUGUUAACCGAGUCAUAAUCAAGCUUAGGCUUGGUAUCCUAUUAUUAUUUACCAAAAGAAUUCAGAAUUAAUAUUGUAACAUAGACGUAAAAAAUCUAUAAAACAACUUUUAACAACGGAUCUCUUGGUUCUCGCAUCGAUGAAGAACGUAGCAAAGUGCGAUAACUAGUGUGAAUUGCAUAUUCAGUGAAUCAUCGAGUCUUUGAACGCAACUUGCGCUCAUUGGUAUUCCAAUGAGCACGCCUGUUUCAGUAUCAAAACAAACCCUCUAUCCAACUUUUGUUGAAUAGGAUGACUGAGAGUCUCCUGAUCUAUUCUGAUCUCGAACCUCUUGAAAUGUACAAAGGCCUGAUCUUGUUUGAAUGCCUGAACUUUUUUUUAAUAUAAAGAGAAGCUCUUGCGAUAAAACUGUGCUGGGGCCUCCCAAAUAACACAUCUUUAAAUUUGAUCUGAAAUCAGGUGGGAUUACCCGCUGAACUUAAGCAUAUCAAUAAGCGGAGG